rnacentral:rRNA from 1 species
CAAAAGUACAACCCUGAACGGUGGAUCACUCGGCUCGUGGGUCGAUGAAGAACGCAGCAAAUUGCGCGUCGACAUGUGAACUGCAGGACACAUGAACAUCGACAUUUCGAACGCACAUUGCGGUCCAUGGAUUCCGUUCCCGGACCACGCCUGGCUGAGGGUCGGUAGCUAAAU